GGUAUGACAUCAAGUACCGCGAGAGUUUGGGAAAGCCCCGGAAAAGGUUUGAACUCGCGGUACUUGAUGUCACGAUCGGUUUGCGAGUAGAUCAGCAUGAAGUCAAACACAUCUGAGAGAUGUGUGGGCUGCCUGCACUCAACGUUGGGAUCAUUCAAUAGAGUGUAACCUCAAUCGGUUUUUGCAGCUUCUGGGUCCCGUGUAGAACGAUUUUUUUGUUCUUUUCCAACUCGAUUUUUAACUCCCUAAACUAGUAGGAUGUUCCAACGGGUGAAGCAACAGUGCUGACGGCAGUUUCAGUGUCAAGUUUUCAUGCCAUGACCACUGGGGCGGAAACCAUUAUGACAUUGCCUUGGACAUCAAACUAAACCAUCUCAUUCUGGCUUUUGAGGUGGAUUCUAACCUCGAAAUCUCAGAAGGACAGGUCUAAGAUGGACGCAGCCUCCAUAGGAUGCAACCUUGCAUUUGAGAAACACCCAUAGAACGGAGAAAGUCAUGGUGUUCUGCUGCUAAGGUUGUCAUAAACGUCUUUUAUUCUGCCUACCUGACUCAUGCAGAAUUCUGGCUUGAUGUUUGGUCCACCUGUUAGCUGGCUCUGGUGCUUGGUAGUCUUCUCAAACCUCUGAAUCAAGACCACCAUGAGAGGCCUUCUGAAGACCAUCAUUACGCUUCAGAUCCAGUUGUCUUUACUUUGAGAUAGAACUGAACUGGAGUCUAUGAACUAAUGCUGUGUUCGAGACAACUUGGAUGUUGGAUAUUAUUGACCUUAAACCCGUAAGAAGUCAGGAACAGGAAACAAAGUGGAGUAUCCGACCUCUCAACUUGGACCAGAUCGAUCAACACCGACCUCAACGAGAUGCGUCAUUUGACAUUGCAGACAAGGUGGUGGCUAGCCUUUCACAGCCUUACAUGAACCGCAAACACACUUUAAACAGCACGUAAUAUAGAUGAACCUGAAUGUUAAAUUAUCCAGUAACCGUUUUCUGCCAUAAUUGGCACAAGAGCACAAACUUCUCCUGGCGUCUCAUUAUGUGGUAAACACGCAAAUGUGAUACGUGAUUGACUGGAAUGCAUUGAG